CAUGCAAGUCGAACGAGCGAGAGAGAGCUUGCUUUCUCGAGCGAGUGGCGAACGGGUGAGUAACGCGUGAGGAACCUGCCUCAAAGAGGGGGACAACAGUUGGAAACGACUGCUAAUACCGCAUAAGCCCACGGUGCCGCAUGGCACAGAGGGAAAAGGAGUAAUCCGCUUUGAGAUGGCCUCGCGUCCGAUUAGCUAGUUGGUGAGGUAACGGCCCACCAAGGCGACGAUCGGUAGCCGGACUGAGAGGUUGAACGGCCACAUUGGGACUGAGACACGGCCCAGACUCCUACGGGAGGCAGCAGUGGGGAAUAUUGCACAAUGGGGGAAACCCUGAUGCAGCGACGCCGCGUGGAGGAAGAAGGUCUUCGGAUUGUAAACUCCUGUUGUUGGGGAAGAUAAUGACGGUACCCAACAAGGAAGUGACGGCUAACUACGUGCCAGCAGCCGCGGUAAAACGUAGGUCACAAGCGUUGUCCGGAAUUACUGGGUGUAAAGGGAGCGCAGGCGGGAAGACAAGUUGGAAGUGAAAUCUAUGGGCUCAACCCAUAAACUGCUUUCAAAACUGUUUUUCUUGAGUAGUGCAGAGGUAGGCGGAAUUCCCGGUGUAGCGGUGGAAUGCGUAGAUAUCGGGAGGAACACCAGUGGCGAAGGCGGCCUACUGGGCACCAACUGACGCUGAGGCUCGAAAGUGUGGGUAGCAAACAGGAUUAGAUACCCUGGUAGUCCACACCGUAAACGAUGAUUACUAGGUGUUGGAGGAUUGACCCCUUCAGUGCCGCAGUUAACACAAUAAGUAAUCCACCUGGGG
rnacentral:rRNA from 1 species